rnacentral:rRNA from 1 species
GACAGAGGGUGCAAACGUGUUCGGAAUUACUGGGCGUAAAGCGUGUGUAGGCGGCUUUGUAAGUCGGAUGUGAAAGCCCCGGGCUCAACCUGGGAAGUGCACUCGAAACUGCAAAGCUUGAGUAUCGGAGAGGUUGGUAGAAUUCUCGGUGGAGAGGUGAAAUUCGUAGAUAUUCGGAAGAACACCAGUGGCGAAGGCGACUUACUGGACGACUGUUGACGCUG